rnacentral:rRNA from 1 species
GAUGAACACUGGCGGCGUGCAUAACACAUUCAAGUCGAACGGACAAGGGACUUCGGUCCUGCGUUAGUGGCGGACGGGUGAGUAACGCGUGAGCAACCUGCCCCUUUGUGCGGGAUAACGUUUGGAAACGAACGCUAAUACCGCAUAAUGCAUCGAGAUCGCAUGUUUUUGAUGCCAAAGAUUUAUUGCAGAGGGAUGGGCUCGCGUCCGAUUAGAUAGUUGGUGAGGUAACGGCCCACCAAGUCGACGAUCGGUAGCCGGACUGAGAGGUUGAACGGCCACAUUGGAACUGAGAAACGGUCCAGACUCCUACGGGAGGCAGCAGUGGGGAAUAUUGGGCAAUGGGCGAAAGCCUGACCCAGCGACGCCGCGUGAGGGAAGACGGUCUUCGGAUUGUAAACCUCUUUUAUAAGGGACGAAACAAAUGACGGUACCUUAUGAAUAAGCCACGGCUAACUACGUG